UCAUUAUUUGAGAUCGAGAUUUUCACCAUGGAGCUCUUGGCAAGCUUUGCUACCUUAGCAAGGCUUGGCCCAUGCAUCAGCUAAUGAGUCAAAAUGCUUUGGCCUUAUUUUGAGCCGAUCCAUCUUGUUUUCUCAUCAUCAUCAGCCAUUGCCGCCAGUGAUGUUGCUAUCACGACUGUCUUCAGAGGCCAUGUUAGGAAAGA
rnacentral:lncRNA from 1 species